GGCCGACUAGCUCAGUUGGUUAGAGCGUCGUGCUAAUACUCAAUAACGCGAAGGUCUUGGGUUCGAUGCCCACGUUGGCCA
rnacentral:tRNA from 1 species